GGGGGUGAACGGUCUCGACUUUGGAUGUUGAGGCAGGGGAAGCGGGCCGAGGAAGCCGGAAUGAUCUCGUAAACCAAUAAUCCGUGCAAAAAAUAACUGCUGACACUAAUCAGCAAGCUUUCGAACUCGCUGCAUAAGCAUUUCGA
rnacentral:tmRNA from 1 species